AUUUUAACAUCGGGAACUGCGGGUAAGCGCUCGCUUUUCGAUAUUUUAUACCGACAUAAUCGCUAAGAAACAAACAAUUGACGUGAGCGCAAUAACUUAUAGGUACACACUGUCGAGCAAGAAACUCACGCGACUGCAAGAAGACAUGUCGAUGGUGCGCGGCUGCGUGCGCAAGCGCGGGCGCCAGCUGCGAACGGACAUGCGCGGCGGGCGGCGGCCGCGCCGGCAGCACCAGUAGCGCCGCCGCGCCGUCCGCGUGCCGGGCCAGCGCUUCGCACAGCCGCGCCCACGCCGCGCAUGCGCGCCACCGCCACCACACCUUGUGCACGGACGACAACACCUCGCUCUAUCAAACAUAAAUUUUUACACAACAUCAAAUAGAAAUUUUCAUGCGUCUUAGAAUAAGAAACAAACUAAAAUAACCUAUAAACAUUAACACCAUUAUGAAUAUACUCUAUGACGCCAUAA